AUCACACAGGAAGUGAGUCACAUUUCCAUGCACGCUCGUUAACUCAACAAGCACGUUGUGAGCACUGAGAGAAACCUUUAGAAAGCCACGAUGAAGGCCGCUGAAAACGUGAAGGAACCGCACCUCGGGCCCAGUUCGGCCGCGUGCCGACCCGGAAACGUCGUGAACACGUUUGCACUCUCUCUGGCCCGUGACGUCAUCGGCUGGCUCUUACGUGUCCAAAGCGACCGGGGAGGUGACCGAGACCAAGUUGGCGCGCUUGCCCGCCAGCUGGCCAAAAGCGUCAUCACUCCCGCUCUUCACAGAGUUCAAAUGCUGGAAACGACACGCGACGACGUCGAUUAAGUGUAUUUCGUUGGCAAUAAAUGUUCAUCCAAAUUGGAUGAAGCAAAAUGUUCUUGCAAUACGUCCUAAUGUCCACUAGAUGGUAGCACAAGAAAAUUCUCGGGAAACAUUGACAAGGGCCAUAGUUAUGAAUGCGCCAACGCAAUGAAGCAGCCCGACUAACCGACGUGCCUAUAUGGCGGCCAUGUUGGGAAGGUCAACCCUCCCAUAGAAAGGAACGCAUCGACACUAAAAUUAAGUCAUAAAUUGCUUAUUCCUCAAUCGCUUUUCAUGAGGGUUACUGUUUUGUCAACGCCAAAGCGUAUGCUAUUGAUAAAAAAAAAAAAAAAGUAAAAAUGAAUCUAUUUAAACAUUUGUAAUGUGAAAGGGACUCCCAGUUCCCUUGUAAUUGUACGGCACUUUGCGAAACCGUAUGCAACACAACGUACCGGCAUCAUUGGUCUUUUACUUUUCUACCCGUACACACACAUGGAAUGCGCGGACAACGUCGGCCUCCCUAGCUUAGCGUCGCCGUCGGCACGGAGCUCAAAAUGGGUGUGUUGUAUCUACCAAUACAUAUGUCAGAAUCAUCUUUAUUUGCAAAUUAUGUCAAAAACACACAAGGAAUUAGUCUCCGGUAGUUAGAGCCGCUCUAGUCCGACAACAGACAGCCAUUUCACAGAAAAUACUUUUGAAACAUCAAAACUUAAAAAACAGUUUGGAGAGUCACUGAGCAAUGAAAGGUUACCGGUAAUGCAGAUACAAUAUAUAUAUUCUUUUCUUUUUAAAAAGUGUGCAAAUGAUGCAGAAUCCUCUAGCAAAUUGGAGCAGUUUGAAAUGACUAAUAGAGCGAUAAUCUGGCACAGGAACCAUUGUGCAAAUGGUGCAGAUUUAAAAAAUUUAAGUAGUGCGAUAAUCUGGAACAGUGUCAAUUGUACAAAUGGUGCAGAUACUUCUCAAGCACAUGAGUGGCCGGUAUUGGUCAACAAAAGAUGUGCAAAUAGUGGAGCGUGGCGGGACUACGACAGUGAGUGCACGAAUAAUGUAUAAUCGGCCCAACAGAGAUGUGACAACAAUCUCGAGACAUCAUUGGCAGCAUGUUACAAUGGAAUUGUAAGUUAACUGUUUAAGAAGUUAAUGGCAAGAGGGAAGAAGCUGUUGGAAUGUCUGCUAGCUUUAGUUUGCAUUGUUCGAUAGCGCCUACCUGAGGGAAGAAGCUGGAAGAGGUGGUUACCAGGAUGUGGAGGGUCCAAGAGGAUUUUGCAUGCUAUAUCUUAGUUCUGGCAGUGUGCAAAUCCUCAAGGGUGAGUAGUGGGGUACCAACAACAACCUUUCAGCAGUUUUCAUUGUCCGUUGCAGUUGGAGUUUGUCAUUUUUUGUGGCAGCCCCAAACCAGCCUGUGAUGAAAGGACACAGAACCGAUUUGAUGACCGCUGGGUAGAACUGCCUCAAGAGCUCCUUUGGCAGGCUGUGCCUCCUCAGAAGCCGCAGGAAGAACUUGAAGAUCUCGACGGUUGACACAUGGCAGUUGGACAGCAUGAGGGGCAGCUGUGGCGGGAGAUGCCUCCUGAAGUCCACGAUCAUCUUUACAGUCUUGAGCGUGUUCAGCUCCACCACAACUCCAGCCGCUCCGCUCCCUGCCAAUAUGCAGACUCCUCACCUUCUUUGAUGAGGGCGGUGCUGGUGGUGCGUCCAGGCUCUCCUGCUGUGUCCUGCCUGUCAGGAAGCUGUAAAUCCACUGGCAGAUGGCAGGCGAGACACUGAGCUGGAGAAGCUUGGAGAGGAGUUCGGGGAUGAUGGUGUCGAACGCAGAGCUGAAGUCCACGAACAGGAUCCUCGCAUAGGUUUCCGCACAGUCCCAUGUUGUCUGCGUCAUCCACAGACCUGUUUCCUCAGUAGGCAAA